UACGUAGGGGGCGAGCGUUGUCCGGAUUUAUUGGGCGUAAAGAGCGUGUAGGCGGCCAGGUAGGUCUGCUGUGAAAACUCCAGGCUCAACCUGGAGACGCCACCUCAUACUGCCGUGGCUAGAGUCCGGUAGGGGAGCAUGGAAUUCCUGGUGUAGCGGUGAAAUGCGCAGAUAUCAGGAGGAACACCGGUGGCGAAGGCGGGUCUCUGGGCCGAUACUGACGCUGAGGAGCGAAAGCGUGGGGAGCGAACAGG
rnacentral:rRNA from 1 species